ACAUUCUAUCAAAAUGGAUCUAGUUUUGAACAAAUUCAACUUCAUAUUCAAAGUGCCUAUCUAAGACAUAAACAUAACAAGACAUUUCAUUUAUUAGUUAGUUACGCUAUAAUAAAUAUUAUUUUCUAUUUGAGAUUAAGACAUUACUCAAGUUUAAAUGCUGCAAAACUCGUUUUUUGAAUCUAACAAAUUAUAUUGAAAGAAAUUUUUUUUUUUUUUUUUUUAUAACUCAGUGUCCAGACCACACAGUGAUCUGACUAGUCCAUUGGGCCGAAACCCGCGAUCAGGGAUUUUUGAGCCUCUACUUAAGGGCCCCCUGAAACUGGUGGUCUAAGGCGCCUGAGCAAGUCCGCAUGUUAAUUCCCUGGUGGCCAGGAAUCGAACCCGGGUGGCGGGCGCCUCAGUCGAGGUUCCUUUACCACCAGACCACGAUGCCUGGUUAAGAAAGAAAAAAAAACUUAUACAUAUGAAUGUAAACUUUUCUUAAACCGAAUCAUAAAUAUAUUUUAUCUAUCCUUGAUUUUGAUCUUGCCUUGAAGCAAACACACUUGAAUCCCUCUUGCAUACAUCUUCCCAAACUUGAUUAUUAAACUAGUCGGUACACGUCUGUUGUACACUUAGUUCACUGAUAAGGGUAUUUUGUCCUAAAAUAUAUUAAUGGCUAAUUGGUGAGAGUCUAACUUGACUUUGCCAACUGGUGAAGAGAAAAUUCAUCACUAAGGUGAAAAUUUCUUUAAAUAGUAAGCGCUAUGAAAAUGGUAUCUCAUAAGCGAACAUUUGAAAAUUUGCAUUUAAGAGAAGUAGUUACUCACAGUUACCAGAAAAAGAAAUAGUAGCUAAGCAAUCAAAUAAAACUUGGUUGCCUACAAAAAAGAACUUGGAAGCCUACAAAAAAAAAAAGAACUUGGAAUGCACAGUACGAAACGUUUACAACAAAGAAAAGAAAAGAAAACAAAGCAAAGAAGAAAGAAAAUUGGAAAACAGAUUGCUUGGUGCAAAGCAAUCUCAGGCUCAGUGCAAGAUAAGAGAAAAAUUAAGGUACACACUUUACUUCUUGGAACAUCAAACCCCUCCCUCCACUUAGGUUAGAAAACUUCUUCUUCGAAUAGUUGAAUUGGAAUAGUAUUGGACAACAGUGAUGGAUAUUGAGAAUGCUACAACUGGAAAUCAAACUGAAGGACAAUUUAGCUUUUUAACAUUGAGGAAUCGUUCCCGUUUAUCGGGAAAACUUCCAUUUGUACCGAAUAGAAAGAAUGAGAUUGUUUUCUUGGAUUUCAAGAGAACCGUUGGAUGAAAACAUAUUCAACGAUGGAGAAGAAAAAAAAUUCUUUGUUUAUUGGAAGUUUAUUGAAUGGUUUCUUAUGGUUGCAGUCACUGCUGUGAUAAUCAUAACCAUUUCAAUUUGUUCCUUGCGCAGUAAGCUAGUUUUGGGAAUGUCUUUGUUGAAGUCCGAGGUGUUUCUACUAAUGGUAAUAGGUGACAGACUUGUUAGUGCAGUUGUAGUUGGAAUCAUCGUUAGAGUUCUCCACAAGCUAUUUAGAUACUCUGAUGGAUUUUUAUAUGUUGUGUACAAACGAGAGAGGUCCCUUCUCUUGUCGCUGAGUGACAUGGACGAUGCGUCCACGAUAAUUGAGACCAUCUUUAACAUAUUUUUAGGGGGUUUGAUAUUAGCAUUCUCAAUCCCACUGCUGGAAUUAGGCGGAGUAAUAUAUUUGGCGUUCAUAUACAUAAACUCUUUAAUUAUAAAAUAAAAUAAGCAAAAUAUAAGCAAAACAUAAGCAAAAUGUGAAGAAAAAAACACUUAAAUAAAAACAAAAAGUGACUUCAUGUAUAUCGAUUGAUACAAUUACCAACUGUAACAAAGAAUACAACAAUACAAAUAGAAAACAUUCAAGCUCGUAUAAUUGCUGUUGUUAACCAAAAACCAUAAUAUAUUUGUGGCAGAUUAGUUUUCUCAUUGUGGGAUGUGAAGUAUGUCAUAGUUAUAUCAUUGACGUCAUGGUUUUACAUGCAUACCUAUAGUGAGAAGUUAUCAUAUUCUCUAUUUUCUAUACGUGUGGUUAAAACUCUCAUGGGUCUUCCAUUGACUAAAUACAGAAGAUUUUUGCCUAUUGACAAGUGAAGCUUUAAGAGAUCUACUUAAGCUUAAUCCAAAAGAAUUAUUAUCAUGGCAUAUGAAGCAAAUGAUGAUUGAGAAAGAGGAAGGGAUAAUGAAGCAAAGAGGCCGAAAGGAUCUUUCAAAAUGUGGCAAAACUCAUUAAGUCUCACAUUUGUCUUUAGCAUUUGUUUGUGUUCGAAAACACAUGGUUCACAAAUUUUUGAGGUUUAUUAAUUUGCUAGGUCUCAAUCGAUUUAUAGUGUCACCACUUACCCCUGUUUCCAUUUCUUUAAUUUACUGUCUUUACUUCUUCACCUAUACGUAUUGAAAAAAUUACUCCAAUUAAAGACGAAUGUUGAUUAUGAAGUAGAGUAACAAGUGUAAUUAGAUGAAGCUAUAUACUUUCAAAACUUCAGCGUAUUAACAAAACUAAUUAUGAAAAGUACCAAAAAGAAAAGGAAAAAUGGACGGUGGAAGAGAGAGGACAUGAACGUUAGAGUGGAAGGAUUCAUGAGCCGGAAUUUCCAAAGACGUCCUAUUCGUCGUGUUGCAUUC
rnacentral:sRNA from 1 species